rnacentral:rRNA from 1 species
AAAAACAUAGCCUUUAGCCUAACAAGUAUUAAAGGUGUAGCCUGCCCAGUGACUAUUUUAACGGCCGCGGUAUCCUAACCGUGCAAAGGUAGCGUAAUCAUUUGUCUCCUAAAUAGGGACUUGUAUGAACGGCUAACUGAGGGCCCAACUGUCUCCUUAGACCAAUCAAUGAAACUGAUCUUUCAGUACAAAAGCUGAAAUAAAUCCAUAAGACGAGAAGACCCUGUGGAGCUUUAAACCCUCACUAUAAACACAACCCCUACCCUAUAAGGGACACAUUUUGCCCCCAAUAGUAAAGGUUUUCAGUUGGGGCGACUUUGGAAUAAAAUAAAACUUCCAUGCCAGGGGAAUCCCCUAUUAAGGCCGACACGCCAAAAUAAAACUUUAUUGACCCAGCCUGUCUGAUCAACGAACCAAGUUACCCCAGGGAUAACAGCGCCAUCCUCUUCAAGAGUUCCUAUCGCCAAGAGGGUUUACGACCUCGAUGUUGGAUCAGGACACCCCGGUGGUGCANNNNNNNNNNNNGGNNNGUU